UAGAGUUUGAUCCUGGCUCAGAUCUUUCGCUGGCGGCAGGCCUAACACAUGCAAGUCGAACGGUAGCACAGAGGAGCUUGCUCCUUGGGUGACGAGUGGCGGACGGGUGAGUAAUGUCUGGGAAACUGCCCGAUGGAGGGGGAUAACUAAUGAUAAAUCGGUUACUAAUACCGCAUAACGUCGCAAGACCAAAGAGGGGGACCUUCGGGCCUCUUGCCAUCGGAUGUGCCCAGAUGGGAUUAGCUAGUAGGUGGGGUAACGGCUCACCUAGGCGACGAUCCCUAGCUGGUCUGAGAGGAUGACCAGCCACACUGGAACUGAGACACGGUCCAGACUCCUACGGGAGGCAGCAGUGGGGAAUAUUGCACAAUGGGCGCAAGCCUGAUGCAGCCAUGCCGCGUGUAUGAAGAAGGCCUUCGGGUUGUAAAGUACUUUCAGCGAGGAGGAAGGUGUUGUGGUUAAUAACCACAGCAAUUGACGUUACUCGCAGAAGAAGCACCGGCUAACUCCGUGCCAGCAGCCGCGGUAAUACGGAGGGUGCAAGCGUUAAUCGGAAUUACUGGGCGUAAAGCGCACGCAGGCGGUCUGUCAAGUCGGAUGUGAAAUCCCCGGGCUCAACCUGGGAACUGCAUCCGAAACUGGCAGGCUAGAGUCUUGUAGAGGGGGGUAGAAUUCCAGGUGUAGCGGUGAAAUGCGUAGAGAUCUGGAGGAAUACCGGUGGCGAAGGCGGCCCCCUGGACAAAGACUGACGCUCAGGUGCGAAAGCGUGGGGAGCAAACAGGAAAAGAUCCCCUGGUAGUCCACGCCGUAAACGAUG
rnacentral:rRNA from 1 species